rnacentral:rRNA from 1 species
UACGAAGGGGGCUAGCGUUGCUCGGAAUCACUGGGCGUAAAGCGCACGUAGGCGGGUUCUUAAGUCAGGGGUGAAAUCCCGGAGCUCAACUCCGGAACUGCCUUUGAUACUGGGAAUCUUGAGUCCGGGAGAGGUGAGAGGAACUCCGAGUGUAGAGGUGAAAUUCGUAGAUAUUCGGAAGAACACCAGUGGCGAAGGCGGCUCACUGGCCCGGUACUGACGCUGAGGGACGAAAGCUAGGGGAGCGAAUGGG